ensembl:lncRNA
AAUAUGAAGGGCUUCCAAAGACUUUUCCCUAGUGCUUAUUAAAUAUUUUAUGUCAUUUAAAGAUUUUGUAUUAAAGUAGAAUGAUAUAUUACUACCUUUUCACUAAGCAAAUACACUCUUCAAAUGCGUAAAUUGUAAAAUUAUCUUUCAAAAAGAUUUUCCUAAUUACAGACUAAUGAUUAAACAUGAAAAACGAAAACCUCGCAAAGGUUGAGACACUGUCGUCUUUACAGUGAAAACAUCAGACAAGUAUAUUCCUGUUCUUUAGUAUUUGGAAUGUUUGGGUAGCUGUUAAUGAUAGGCAGUCAUCAGGAAUGGACUAGCAUUGUUUUAACAUCAGUGAAUAUGAACUUACUGCUCAUGUCUACCCUGUAAGAUGUGAUACUGCAGUUUUGAUGUUUCAAAAUGUGUAGUGUGUCAUUGACUUGGAUAGUGGGACAGUGUAAGCGCAGGAGUGGGG